rnacentral:rRNA from 1 species
CCUACGGGUGGCAGCAGUGAGGAAUAUUGGUCAAUGGGCGGAAGCCUGAACCAGCCAAGUCGCGUGAGGGAAUAAGGCCCUACGGGUCGUAAACCUCUUUUGCCGGGGAGCAAGGGCGGGGACGUGUCCCGGCCCGGAGAGUACCCGGAGACAAAGCAUCGGCUAACUCCGUGCCAGCAGCCGCGGUACUACGGAGGAUGCGAGCGUUAUCCGGAUUUCUUGGGUUUAAGGGGUGCGUAGGCGGGCUUUUAAGUCAGCGGUAAAAAGUCGGGGCUCAACCCCGUCGUGCCGUUGAAACUGGUGGUCUUGAGUGGGCGAGAAGAAUGCGGAAUGCGUGGUGUAGCGGUGAAAUGCAUAGAUAUCACGCAGAACUCCGAUUGCGAAGGCAGCAUACCGGCGCCCUACUGACGCUGAGGCACGAAAGCGUGGGGAGCGAACAGGAUUAGAUACCCGAGUAGUC